rnacentral:lncRNA from 1 species
CUGCCCACGCCUUGAUUUUAGGACUCUACUGGAAAAGCACAACUUUGUGUUGGUUUAAGCCACGGUGUCUGUGGGGCUUUGUGACAGCAGGAGAGGAACCAGCACACCACUCUCUCCCCAUCAGGGCCCUCCUGUGCGCUUAGAAGAUCUAGUGAGGAUGAAAUGCAUCACGUAACCAGAAACCUAUAGAAACAGUUUCUGAAUUUGCUUUUCGUAGGAGAGUCAGCCAAAAAUAUCAACAGCCACAAUUUAUUGGACGCCUUCAGGAAAAAUGUCAAAGCCAGGCAUUCGUCCAAAGAAAAACAUUAACAUCUGCCGUUUUUCUAAAUUGAAUGUGGAAGAUGAUCCUGACAGGCUGAACAAAGAUGCUUGCUCUCUGGUGUGAUGUUUGACAAGGGAAUCUUCUUUCAUUUUCUCCUCUGAUGAAACUCUCUACCAGAUAAGCCGCAGCAG